CAACUUUCAACAACGGAUCUCUUGGUUCUGGCAUCGAUGAAGAACGCAGCGAAAUGCGAUACGUAGUGUGAAUUGCAGAAUUCCGUGAAUCAUCGAAUCUUUGAACGCACAUUGCGCCCUUUGGUAUUCCAAAGGGCAUGCCUGUUCGAGCGUCAUUU
rnacentral:rRNA from 1 species